rnacentral:rRNA from 1 species
AUUGAACGCUGGCGGCAUGCUUUACACAUGCAAGUCGAACGGCAGCGCGGGCUUCGGCCUGGCGGCGAGUGGCGAACGGGUGAGUAAUGCAUCGGAACGUGCCCAGUAGUGGGGGAUAGCCCGGCGAAAGCCGGAUUAAUACCGCAUACGACCUGAGGGUGAAAGCGGGGGACCGAAAGGCCUCGCGCUAUUGGAGCGGCCGAUGUCGGAUUAGCUAGUUGGUGGGGUAAAGGCUUACCAAGCCGACGAUCCGUAGCUGGUCUGAGAGGACGACCAGCCACACUGGGACUGAGACACGGCCCAGACUCCUACGGGAGGCAGCAGUGGGGAAUGUUGGACAAUGGGGGCAACCCUGAUCCAGCCAUGCCGCGUGCGGGAAGAAGGCCUUCGGGUUGUAAACCGCUUUUGUUCGGGAAGAAAUCCUCUGGGCUAAUACCCCGGGGGGAUGACGGUACCGGAAGAAUAAGCACCGGCUAACUACGUG